AUUUGAUGAUGAGGGCAUUGGAUGAACAAUAACUCAAAUCUUUCUCAAUACUCAUCAAGUGUCUCUCCAUGAGAUUGUUGAAUCCCACAUAUUUCUUUUCUUAUGUU
rnacentral:snoRNA from 1 species